GGAGGGUGCAAGCGUUAAUCGGAAUUACUGGGCGUAAAGCGCACGCAGGCGGUCUGUCAAGUCGGAUGUGAAAUCCCCGGGCUCAACCUGGGAACUGCAUUCGAAACUGGCAGGCUGGAGUCUUGUAGAGGGGGGUAGAAUUCCAGGUGUAGCGGUGAAAUGCGUAGAGAUCUGGAGGAAUACCGGUGGCGAAGGCGGCCCCCUGGACAAAGACUGACGCUCAGGUGCGAAAGCGUGGGGAGCAAAC
rnacentral:rRNA from 1 species